AUUAAACACCAUCUAAAGACUGCAUCUCUUUCAUCGGGCUUCUCUUUCAAUUUCAUCAGGCUUCUCUUUCAAUUUUACAUUUCAAAUUGAGAACGAGCUAUAGCUUCUGUUCGUCAUCCCCGAUCUCCAAAACUAUCCUUCAUCCUUCAUCGUCAUCCCCGAUCUCAGCUUUGCAAUUAGGUUUCUCUCUGCUUAUAUUGGAUUUAGGGUUUCUAGAAUUUGUUUUUUGCCGCUGUUACAGCGAUUGAGCUUCUCUUCCAUAGCCAUCGUCAUCUUCAUCGCCAUCACCAAAGGUAACAUCUGUUUCUCUUUCAAUCUCUAAUUCAUCGCCAAAGGUAACAUCUGUUUCUCUUUCAAUUUUAUUUUUAUUUUCAUUGCUAACAUCUCUUUCUCUUCUAGGUUUACUGAUCUCUUCAAAUGUCUUCUUUAAGGUCUGGUUUUCAUCUAGAUAACUUGAAACAUUUUAAGAGAAGGAAAAAUGGAAAGAAAAAUAUUGUUGAAGUGAGGUCAACAAAAAAAAUAUAAUGCCAGAGAUUUACUCAUUCUUAUUCAAAAUCUAGGACUUCAAAGGAAAAAAGAACUAAAGAAAAAAUCGGCGAAGUGAAAUCCACGGGAGCAGCUCAUGCAAUUGAAGAGGAUUUAGUCGAUGAUGCUAUUGUUAGCGAAAAACAAAGAGAACAAGAACAUCUCGAAAAGGAUACAGAGGAGCAAGAAGAAACCGAACAUCUUGAUGAGAAUAUUGAAGUACAACCGAAUGAAGAGACAAGUUCAGGUAUCAAAGAUUCUUAGUUACUUCUUGAACUUUAUUCUUGA